rnacentral:lncRNA from 1 species
AAUCCAGAAAUAUCACUUUGAGGAAAUUCGCGAAUUCGAGGUUGAUGAGGACCUCUUUGGAUAUAUGCUCGUCUAAUCUCAUCACGUUCAUCCGGAUGAUAGUCUCGAAUGGGUAUUCUUUUCUUUGGAUCAGCCGGUAAAGAAUCCAAAUCUACCCCUUGUUUCAAUCUUUUAGCGGAAUGAUGAGUUUCUUCUAAUUGGUUCAAGUUUUC